rnacentral:tRNA from 1 species
GGGCGGUUAGCUCAGUUGGUUAGAGCACUCGCUUGACAUGCGAGAGGUCGUAGGUUCGAGCCCUAUACCGCCCA